rnacentral:rRNA from 1 species
UACGUAGGGGGCAAGCGUUGUCCGGAAUUAUUGGGCGUAAAGCGCGCGCAGGCGGCUUUGUAAGUCUGGUGUUUAAACCUAGGGCUCAACCCUGGGUCGCAUUGGAAACUGCAAGGCUUGAGUGCAGAAGAGGAGAGUGGAACUGCGAGUGUAGAGGUGAAAUUCGUAGAUAUUCGCAAGAACACCAGUGGCGAAGGCGGCUCACUGGCCCGGUACUGACGCUGAGGUGCGAAAGCGUGGGGAGCAAACAGG